AAAAUGACUGGAGGAGCAUGUGGGGGGUGGUGCACAGAGAUUGAGAGAAACAUCUUGGUUUAGUAAAAACCUGUCAAAGUCAGAAAACCUGUUUCUGCCCAGCUCCAUCCCAGUUGUGGUGUUUGGUCCGUGUCUUCAUCUCUGUGACCUUUCGUUUUCACACUGGCACACGCCUCAACAUCCAUUGUUAGGCAGUUGUAAGGCUCAAAUGAGCCCCAAGGCCUUUGAAAAGUUAAAAGUAUUAAAGUGUUAGAUGAACAUAAGAAGAAAUGAUUAUGCUGCCUUCAAAGCGAGCCUCCCUGUCUGAUGCACUCACUGGGCCACCUUCUCUGAGCACUUCUGAAAGGGGCCUCAUUUAUUCGUUCAUUUAUUCCAUGCUGCACAAGUUUGUUAAGCACCCACUUGUGCCAGGCAUUUGCUGUACGCUAAGGAUUCAUCAGUGAAGAGGUAGAAACGGCCCCUGCUCUUUUCAAUCUCAUAUUCGGAGGGGAGACAUAAUAAACAAGUAAUGAGAGUGUUUGUUAAUAACUGGUAUGAUCUGAUGGUCAGGAGUGGGUAGUCCAGGAGGGUACCAGGAAAGUGGCCAGGGAGAUGACAUUUGAUGGUGACCUGAAAAUGAGAAGCCAGCCUUGGGAAGAGCUGUUGCAAGAGCUUCAAGCAGAGGACAUAGCAAACUAAGUGACUCCGAGGCAGGGAAGAUUUCAGCAUGUUUGAGGAGGCCAGUGAGGCAGACCCCAGAAAGCACGUGGGAGAAUGAUAGGAGAUGAGAUGGGCAGGGUUAGCCCAUCCAGGGGCUGCAAGGUCAAGCAAGGAGUUUGAAUUUUCAGUAUAACGGAAGCCACUGGAGGGAUUUGAACAGAGGAGAGGCAUGAUCUGAUCUAUAUCUGGGGAUGUCAGUCUGGCUAGAUGGUGUGUCUGUGGCCAUGGAGUCUGGGGGCAUGAUAGAAGGGAGCAAGAGUGGAUGCAGGGAAACCAGAGAGGAGCCAGGUGUCAUUGUCCAGGUGAGGGACCAUUGGUGGCCUAGAUUAGGGUGAUGGCCAUGGAAGACCAAGAGGUGGACACAUUGGGGAUACACUAGAGGCAGAAGCACCCAAAUUACCAAUGGGUUGGAUUUAUGUGAAGCAAGGGGAAGACGAACAUUGAUUCCUGGGUUUGAGGCUGGAACAACUGGCCCCGUUUUCUGUGAUAAGAGACACUGGUGGGAUAAAAAGCAAAAGUUCUGCUUUGUACCUGUUUGUUUGUACCUGUUAGGUUUUGCUGUCUAUUGGACCCCUAGGUGGAAAUGUCACGUAUACAACUGGGUGUUCAGGAGAGGGACCAGCUGGAGAUAGAAAUGUGGGCAGUGUUGGCCUGUGUGGGAAGCGGGGCUGGGUGAGAUCAGCCUCCUGGAGAGUGCAGAUGGAGAAGAUCCAGUGAUCUUCACCAUGGGGAGGCUGGAGAGGAGAGAGGGUGGCAGAGGACACUGAAUCGGGAGACGGGAGGCAGGAUUAAACCAGGACUGCGUGGCAGGUGAUGUCUUGGGAGCCAAGAGAGAAAAGGGUUUCAAGGAUGGAAGAGUCCACUGUGUGAGAUACUGCUGGGCGGGUACAAGGCGGACGCGAAGUGUCCCUUGGAUUUGGUAACAUGGAGGUUGUUGGCAACUUUGACAAGAGCACUUCCAGCAAAGUGGGUUGAAGAUGGGAGGUGAGAAAGAGAUAGUGAUGGUGGACAAAUCGUCUUUUUGAGAAGUUUCACUGAGAAUGGGAUGGGGACUGGCUGAAACCGUGGGUUCAGGGGAGAGUUUUUAAAGAUGAGAGAGAGCGUGGCUGAGUGCUUGUGGGAGGCGUGGCAGAUGCCAGGGAGCAAAGUCCUUGAGAAGAGGCCUCGUUGAGGACAGGAGUCGUUUGCAAUUGGAACGAUGAUGGAGAAUGGGGGUGCAGAAGCUUCUGGGUUUGUGACUUGGCAGUGGUGGGUGAAGGCGUUCCUGGAAGGGUUAUUAGAUCCAGGGGAGGGAGGAGAGCUGUGUGGGUGAGAACUGGGAAAGGAAGAUUUACAGACAGAGAAUCUGAGGACUGAGAGAGUUGGCUCAUGGAGCAGGAAAGUGAGUGUACCAGGGAGAUGGUGAGACCCACAGCCCAGGCCUCUUGGCCUUCUGCCUGGCUCCUCCUCGGCUGCGCAGAUGGCUGGUGUUCUCAGAGGCUGCAUCUCAUGCCUGCGUUGUCUUCCUCUCCCCAGGACCUUUAUUGGGCUUGAGGUCACUUCAGGGCAUGCCCAGUUCCUGGACCUGGUUUCAGAGGUGGACAGAGUCAUGGAGGAAUUCGACCUCACCACUUUCUACCAGGACCCUUCUUUCCACCUCAGCCUGGCCUGGUGUGUGGGUGAUGCACAUCUCCAGCUGGAGGGGCAGUGCCUGCAGGAACUACAGGCAAUCGUGGAUGGGUUUGAAGAUGCUGAGGUGCUGCUGCGUGUGCACACUGAGCAAGUCCGCUGCAAGUCUGGGAACAAGUUCUUCUCGAUGCCUUUGAAGUGAGCACCAGAGGCCUUCCUCCUCCAGGGCCCUCUGCAGACCAGGCUGAGAUGGAGGAACCUGCUAAAAUUGAUGGAGAUGCUUCUAGCCUCCCAGUAGGAGGCCCCAGCCAUGCCUUCAACCUGGCAGGAGGUGUAGCCACUCCUCAUCCUCCCUGAGUGCUGAUAUUCUCUCUCUCUCUCUCUCUUUCUCUUCCUCUUCUUUCUCUCUCCUCUCCUCUCUCUUCCUCUCCUUUCUCUUCCUCUUCCUCUCCUCUCUCUUCCUCUCCUCUCUCUUCCUCUCCUCUCUUCCUCUCCUCUCUCUUCCUCUCCUCUCUCUUCCUCUCCUCUCUCUUCCUCUCCUCUCUCUCCCUCUCUUCUCUCUUCCCCUCCUGUCUCUCUUCCUCUCCUCUCUCUCUCUCCCUCUCUUCUCUCUUCUUCUCCUCUCUUCCUCUCCUCUCUCUCCUCCUCUCCUCUCUCUCCUCCUCUCCUCUCUCUCCUCCUCUCCUCUCUCUCUCCUCCUCUCCUCUCUCUCCUCCUCUCCUCUCUCUCCUCCUCUCCUCUCUCUCCUCCUCUCCUCUCUCUCUUCCUCUCCUCUCUCUUUCUUCCUCUCCUCUCUCUCUCUUCGUUUCUUCUCUCUCUCCUGUCUCGGCUGUUGUGGGUUGCAGGUUGGGUGCUGCUGUGUUGUGGUCCUUCCCAGAAACUACCAGUAGAGGGCAGCCUGGGCAUCCUAAUUCUUACUCUGGUUGUUACACAAAGAAAAUAUUGGGGUCACUGGCGAGCCCACCCACACUUGCCAGAAUCUCCACUGUAGUCCCCCUAACAAACAGCCCUUCACUCCUUCUCCCACUUCAGCAAUUUGUAUUUUGAUGCCAUUGGCCUCAGAUCAGAGUGUUUUAAAUCAUCACGCCCUGGCUUAUCCCUGGUCAAGCCAGGACACGGGGUGCUUCAGUGGGUCUGUCACCCUCUCUCCUUGAAGCAUGUCGCUUUUAUUUAUUUACUUUUACUCUCACCCUGCUCCUGUGCCAGCAGGGGCCACUUCAAAGCCAAGGUACAGGGUGAUAACUUGUGGUCCAGCAUCAGUUUUCUCCACUUCUUUCUCCCACUCACCCCCAGCAAGGUGCCUGGGGAGACUUGAGCAGAUGUUUCAUCUUGGCCUGGCCAGUGGCUGAAAGCCAGGCCUCCAAUGCACUGUGACCUUUGGCUUCCCCAGCAGCUUUCCCAGAGAGGCAGAGGGGCCUUCCACAGCCCGGGUUCUCCUGCUGCCUCCUGCCUGCUGCAGCUGCAGGUAUUCUGAGGGGCAACGUGGAGGAAGGGCCAGGGAUGUAUGGGAUUUUAAUUUUUUCAUCAAACCUUCCCCAUGGCAAAGAAACAGUCAGUCCUCUUCAGGUGUCUUCUGGAUUUCUGGUGAUGGAGAGAGAAAUCUUUUUAUGUUACAGUUUUAAAUUAUGUUCAACAAAUAAAAAUUGCAUUUUUUUAUUUUGG
rnacentral:sRNA from 1 species